rnacentral:rRNA from 1 species
UACGUAGGGUGCAAGCGUUAAUCGGAAUUACUGGGCGUAAAGCGUGCGCAGGCGGCUAUGCAAGACAGAUGUGAAAUCCCCGGGCUCAACCUGGGAACUGCAUUUGUGACUGCAUGGCUAGAGUACGGUAGAGGGGGAUGGAAUUCCGCGUGUAGCAGUGAAAUGUGUAGAUAUUCGGAAGAACACCAGCGGCGAAGGCAGCAACUUGGUCUGGUAUUGACGCUCGGGCACGAAAGCAUGGGGAUCAAACAGG